AUCAGAGCUCUGUGUUGCUGCUCGACCAGACUCCAGUGCAGAAGAACACCGUGUCCGUCCAUCCCCAGUACAAAAGAUGCAACAUUAGUUGCAUGUCGAUAUCAGACGUUUUGCAUACCAUGGAUGAGAUUUGAGGUCAACGCAUGCUGGUAUGAAAAACGACCCUAAAAUGUGCCAAAAAAAUAGGCUUCUAGUUUGCACGUUGUGGUUUUUGACUCGAUUGUCUGAAGUUGGAGCUGAGACAAUUGGAGGACGGGCAAGGAGAGAAAUCUCUAGCUCUCCGCCCCGUAGUCGCAGUACUAUUUGUUAAGUUCAUGUUUUAAGUAUCCCUAUAUUUCUGUUAUUACGGGGCUAUCACUCUGUCAAGAGUGCGCCUGCGCGGGAAGGCUUUCUGUUGAUGGACCUAGCCUGGUGUGCGAUGGCUACCUUGUAGUGUGUUCUUACGGUAUAGUAAACUUUGUUAAACUGGAACCUUGUCGUUGUGUCAUUUCGCGUUAACACUAUUUUCCUCCCUCGAGCUGGAUGGCAGCUCUCCACUUUGUCCGUUGAUACCAGUGAGGAGAAAAGGCUUGGAAAAAUCUCGAUUGGGGGUGUACCUGUGGAUUUAUUUCAAGGCCUACCUUCAAACUCAGUGCCUCUUUGCUUGACAUCAUGGGGAAAUCACAAGAAAUCAGCCAAGACCUCAGAAAAAAGAUGGUAGACCUCCACAAGUCUGGUUCAUCCUUGGGAGCAAUUUCCAAACGCCUGAAGGUACCACGUUCAUCUGUACAAACAAUAGUACGCAAGUAUUAACACCAUGGGACCGCGCAGCCGCCAUACCGCUCAGGACGGAGACCCGUUCUGUCUCCUAGCAUAGCGAAAUGUAGGUUACAUGCAGCAACUUUUUUUUAAUAUGCCUAAUAGGCUGCACUGUUUGUAAAGAAGAUUAAUGUGCUAAAUUUGUAAGAAUUUAGCAAUAAGUAAAGCAGCACGAGAAAGCUGGGAUAUGCUUUUAUUAAAUAGUGGCCUGUCAGAACUCUGUUUUCAAACGGGAUUGCACAAUGACGGGGCUUAUAAGAACACGUGUUUCGCUAGGCUCUGUCGGCUAUGGGCUCUCCAACCAUGUUCCAGGGGUCCUAGGCCUAUAGGAUACAUUUGGAGUUACUUCAGUUGUGAUACAAAACAUCUAGUCCUAUGGGCUAGGCUACGUGAUGAAUGAGACUAUGAUUUUGUUUUUAAAGUCGGCCCAAAAAUUUGUGCGCUGUGCAUCAAUUGCAAGUGAUAAUAUUAUCAACAUUCAGACAAUUCUCAAUUGAAUCUUGUCUUUACAUAUACUAAAUAAUAUCUGUGAAGUUAGUUUUGAUUUAGAAUGGACCGUUGUCAUGCACUUCUUGGAACAGGGGCGGGGGGGGGGGAAGACGUGUCACCCUUAUGCACUUGAAUAACAAAUGGAGGAUGCUUUUCUCAGCCAGGUAGGCUACUCCGGUAGUAAAGCAACGCAAUGUGCUUAGUAUAUGGAAAGUUGAGAAGUAAAUAUUGUCCUAGCCUAUCGAAAGCUGAUGGCGCCCUCUUUUUAAUAGAGGCCAGCAAAACUUUUUCUCACUCAAUUGCAUAGCAUAGCCUAUAGAUAUGUUGCGCAACAGGAACAUUUUAUUCCGUGUAUCAACCAGCUAUGAGGAGCUGGCUCUCCCUGCGCAACAGGUGAUCCUAUUCCGCUCCAACUUUGAAAGCCAGGGCUCUCAUGAAGAGUUUGAUAUGAUUUUCGGUCGCAUUUGCAUUGAUGCCAGAGUGAUUAGAGGGACAAUGCAGUGCUGAGUACCGGCCAUUAGCAACUGGCCGUUAGCACGUUUGGUAGGCUACUAAUGACCAUCAGAGGCAUCCGAGCUCAACGGUGUCUCAUAGGGUCACGUGGAAUUUGACUGAGGUCGUGACUCCUGACUGCCGAUGUGGCGGUAAUACGGUCACCUUGUAGGCUACCGUUGCUGCUGAGACAGUCUUCUGCCAAUAUCAUUAUUAGGUCAAUAAA